CUCAGCUCAUCAGGCAGGCGUCCUAGAGCUGAUAUUUAAGGAGAAAUCCAGAGGCUUAAGAAGUAGUCAAGAAAAAGGCAGCUCAGACAACGGGAAGGACAGAAGGGUUUGCAGAGAGUGAAAGGAGCCAACGCAGGAUAGGGCAAGCCAGAGCAAACAGCUCUGGGCUGGGGUGGAGGUGGACUCUGGCAAAUGGAGAAGAACUUGGGAUGGAACUAACUCUCUGCCCCACCAAGGGCAUGGGGAAUAGCAAAGCCAAAGGGGGGCCAUCAAUUUUAAGCAAGAUAUCUCUUGAGGAAGUACUCGCUGCCAAGGGAGUCCAUGUUUCAUCAGCCAGUGGGCAGAUUUGACUGGAUUGCCAAAAGGGCUGGCUGGCCUCCGGGCUGCCAAUCAUUCCCCAAACCCUGAUCGGGCAGUAAAAAACCCAUGUGGAAGAGGGUUAGGGAGAAACAGGAGGAACCACGAGCACACAGCCAUCUCUGAGCCACAGCAUUUAGGAAAAUGCUCUCAACUUGGCAUGAUUGCAAGGGUUAAGUGAUUUGCCCUAGGUCAUGAAGCUUCUAACUUGGACAAGUCCCAUCAUCUCCCUGGACCUCAGUUCCCCCAUCUGUAAGAGGAGGGAGUUGAACGGGAUGCUUUCUGCAGUUCUUGUCAGUGCAGACAUUCUGCAGGUCUAAUCAAGGGCUUCUGAUCUGCCAAUUUCAUCUCCCUGGAUUACUGUGGUUAUCUGAAGACAGGCCCAAGGGAACAACAGAGCCAGAGGGCUGAUCUGAGAAAGGCAGAGCCUGCUCCUCUUUGAGAGCCCCCUGGAGCCCUUGCAGAGGCAUCCCCAGGCUUAGGAGGCAUCACUAUACAGGAGAGUCCAUUCCAGUUCCAGCGGGGUCCUCACCCUACCCCUACUCCCUGGGAGUCACACCUGUGAGACACAGCCUCCACCCCACCCCAGUCCUGCAAGGCAUCCCUCUGGCUCCUGGAUGCCUCCUGGCCUCCUGCACCACCAGCCACAGCAUCACACAGAUGCUGGUCUGUUCUGCCCACAGCUCUUGGUGCAGGUCAGAUUCCUGAUCCUGGCUCCCUGCAUUUCAUUGUCAACCUAUGGCUGCACACACCACUGCAGAUGCUGAAGACACCGUCUUGGCCACAGGGAAGACUGUACUACUGAGACUACAAGACUGAGCCUGCCUUUUGAUUGGUCAAUGUUGCUUUUCCCUUGGUGGGAGAUGAACAAGAAAACAGACUGGGGACUCAAAACACACCAGGUGUUUAAUAGGUGGCUAAGUGAAUAGGCUUUCCAAAUUACAUGCCAACACAGCAGCUUGCCACAGCUUUCAGCCCACUGCUUGCACUAUGGUUUCUGGACUCAACAGAAAGGUCAAGGGAGUGCCAGCUGACUGUCACAUGGUCUGCAAGCCCCUGAUGGGAGGACCAAGUCAUCGACUCUAGCCUGCAUCUUAGCAUCUCCUGGGUUGAACUGACAAGCUGUUUCCAGCAUUCAGCCCCAGCAACUGUGAGUCCUGAAGCACUCCACUGUGCCCCUUGGCGAGCCUCUGCCUGCCCUCUUUAGCCUGACUCUGCUGUAGAUCAGAAAGGCAGGUUCAGGUCCUGGCCCUGGCACUGCCUUCCCAAGGGACUGGACUGGCUCCCUCCCCCAUGAGGAUAACUGCAGGGUGAUGGGGAGGCGGACUAUUUACACACUUCAAGCAAGCCCCACAAGAGCCCCCAGCAAAUAAUACAUUCAUCCAAGCAGCCAUCUCUGGUGGAAAAAAAUCGUUAUUAAUUGGGGUUACAGCACUCAUUUUAACCGCAGCAGGAGCUGAGCCAACUUGAUUUAGUGGUGUGCAGUCUUUUUCUGAACUCCAGUGGAUACUUCACAAAUAACAAUAAAAAUUUUAAUGGUAGGACAGACAUGGAGUGGGCUACACAGCUUCACUCAUUAAACAAACUCCAUCCACCAUGCUCAAGGAUUCAAGCUGUUUUAUGUGGCCAGCCACUUUGCCUAAGCCUGCUGCAGAUGAGAGACUAAAUUUUCAUGGUGUCAAGUUGCAGUAAGAAACAGGUUUCAUUAGCCCUCUUAACAGAUGCAGAAACCGAAGGCCAGAGUGAGAAAGUGAUUUAGGAUCAAUCAGAGGAGGUGCCAGGAGUCCAUCCUCAGCCCCACCUCUCGCCCCAGCCUCAUUCAGUUCUGAUUUCCGAAACAUUUUCGCUUCAUGGAAACUAGGAAGACUCCAUUCUCUGGAGAACUGCAGGGCAGCUGUUUCUGAUUAUUUUUCCAAGAGAGACACAUAACCAAAAGGGUAUUUUGGUUAUAAAGCAAUUUAUUUCUCUAACCAUUAGAAGAUAUGUAUGUUCAUUCCCAUGGGCCCGGGGCUGGGUUUGGUUGCCCUGCAAUGACAACGUCUAGCAGGACUCCACUGAAUCCAGGAGGCCAGUAAUGGAAACUCAAAGACUGUGGCAGUGCCACUUAGAUAAGCACCUGCGGCCUCCCUGACCUACCUCAACCUCCCUGGCUUGGAAACCUCUGCUGGAAAUUUCAUAGAAGCUACUUCUCCCCUUGCAGGGGAGAAUUUUCAUUACAAAGGAGGAUUUCAACACGCUUCAGCCAUGUCCUUUAGGAUCACUGUACUAGAAAGCUGGGUAUAGCUCUGACCAGCCAUUGACCGCCUGCCCUCAUGAUGGUCACGAUCCCAGGAGACAUGUCAGUAGACCACACUGUCCAGCAGCAACUCAGCUUCCCUUUGCCCUUCACCCCCAUGACCUUAUGCUGACUGUCAACGUGAUCUAUUUUCUCCCCUGCUCUUCAGAAGCCCUCAGCAACGAUUCUCCACUCCCCAGAUACUGAUGACAGAAACUAAAUGAUCAAGAAGUAUUCAUAUGAGCAGACACACAUCCCUCUCAAACUCAGGCUCUUCCAAAGUGACAUGACUGUUCUGCAGACGGGCUGAGCCAACGCAGAACACACUGUCCCUCCUUCUGCGUCAUGCUGGAAGUUGCUCUAAGUGCAGGAUGUGGUAGAAGUCACCAGGGUGGAUGGGAUGGUCUGUGUUCCAGCAAACCCACAAGGACAGAAGAGCCAGCCUGGGCUGGUUAGGGAGAGGACAGCUUCAAGGCUGAAGACUAAAAAGUAGAGCUAUUAUUCUGGGUGGCUUGUCGUCAUCUCCACUGAGAGCAGAACAAACCCCUAAAGCAUGUGGAAUUUCCAUUACAGACAAAAAAGAAUUAUUGGACAGUGAGGGUCAUUAGACAAUGGAAUGAGUGCCCAAGGCUACAGCACUGGCAUCACCACAAUGAUCAAGUCAGGAGGGCCGGCUGGGGUUGGGAGGUCACUGGAUUAGAGAUGGAUGACCAGGGCUCCAUUGGCUCAGUGGGUAUUUAACGCAUGGCCUUGGAGGAGGUGCCAGUCUCUCUCCACUUCAGCUACAGCGUAGGCCAUCACCCAGUUUGUCCCCCUGAGUAGUUGCUAUGAAGAUCAAAUGAGAUCAUGGAUGUAAAAGUGUUCAGUGAACCAUAAAUUGCUACCCAGAUAUCAGCUGUCAUCAACCACACCCACAAUCCUGACUAAAGGUCUCGGGAUGGAGAGAGGGUCUUGGCCUGUGCCCUUCAGGAUUCGGUGCUGUGCGUGCAACCUGGGAGUUUCUGCCCUGUUAAUAAGCUGAGUGCUCCCAACUCCAGGUGCUGGGAGGUGAACGGCCCAGGGUUGGAAAUGUCUCUUCCUGGAGUGCUCAGUGCUGAUGCUGGCCAGGUGGAGCACAGAAGACAAAUGAACUCCGCAGAUACUGACUGGGUGGGCUCUGUGAGGCACUGUCCAUGCCUCAGGGAGAUGGACUGAUGCAUCCUUGUCCUUGAGGAAUCUAAAGAGAAGGCAAGGCAGGCCGGGUGCAGUGGCU
rnacentral:lncRNA from 10 species